rnacentral:rRNA from 1 species
AACGAACGCUGGCGGCAGGCCUAACACAUGCCAGUCGAGCGAGGACUUCGGUUCUAGCGGCGGACGGGUGAGUAACGCGUGGGAAUGUGCCCUUCUCUACGGAAUAGCCCUGGGAAACUGGGAGUAAUACCGUAUACGCUCUUAUGGGGUAAGAUUUAUCGGGGUAGGAUCAGCCCGCGUUGGAUUAGGUAGUUGGUGGGGUAAUGGCCUACCAAGCCGACGAUCCAUAGCUGGUUUGAGAGGAUGAUCAGCCACACUGGGACUGAGACACGGCCCAGACUCCGACGGGAGGCAGCAGUGGGGAAUCUUAGACAAUGGAGGCAACCCUGAUCUAGCCAUGCCGCGUGAGUGAUGAAGGCCUUAGGGUUGUAAAGCCCUUUCAGCUGGGAAGAUAAUGACGGUACCAGCAGAAGAAGCCCCGGCUAACUCCGUG